rnacentral:rRNA from 1 species
UAGGGAAUCUUCACAAUGGGCGCAAGCCUGAUGGAGCAACACCGCGUGAGUGAAGAAGGGUUUCGGCUCGUAAAGCUCUGUUGUUAAAGAAGAACACGUAUGAGAGUAACUGUUCAUACGUUGACGGUAUUUAACCAGAAAGUCACGGCUAACUACGUGCCAG